UACAGAGGGGGCAAGCGUUGUCCGGAAUUACUGGGCGUACAGCGCGCGCAGGCGGACCGCCACGUGCCGUGUGACAAGCCACUGCUCAACAGUGGAGGGCCAGGGUACACGAGCGGUCUGGAGGCAGGGAGAGGGAUGUGGAAUGCCCGGUGGAGCGGUGAAAUGCGUAGAGAUCGUAAGGAAGGCCAGUGGCGAAGGCGAGUUCCUGGACAGUUACUGACGCUGAGGCACGAAGGCCAGGGGAGCAAACGGG
rnacentral:rRNA from 1 species